rnacentral:rRNA from 1 species
GGGUUGUGAGGUUAAGCGACUAAGCGUACACGGUGGAUGCCCUGGCAGUCAGAGGCGAUGAAGGGCGUGCUAAUCUGCGAUAAGCGCCGGUAAGGUGAUAUGAACCGUUAUAACCGGCGAUACCCGAAUGGGGAAACCCAGUGUGACUCGUCACACUAUCAUUAACUGAAUCCAUAGGUUAAUGAGGCGAACCGGGGGAACUGAAACAUCUAAGUACCCCGAGGAAAAGAAAUCAACCGAGAUUCCCCCAGUAGCGGCGAGCGAACGGGGAGGAGCCCAGAGCCUGAAUCAGCAUGUGUGUUAGUGGAAGCGUCUGGAAAGGCGCGCGAUACAGGGUGACAGCCCCGUACACAAAAGCGCAUGUGCUGUGAGCUCGAUGAGUAGGGCGGGACACGUGGUAUCCUGUCUGAAUAUGGGGGGACCAUCCUCCAAGGCUAAAUACUCCUGACUGACCGAUAGUGAACCAGUACCGUGAGGGAAAGGCGAAAAGAACCCCGGCGAGGGGAGUGAAAAAGAACCUGAAACCGUGUACGUACAAGCAGUGGGAGCNNNNNNNNNNNNNNNNNNNNNNNNNNNNNNNNNNNNNNNNNNNNNNNNNNNNNNNNNNNNNNNNNNNNNNNNNNNNNNNNNNNNNNNNNNNNNGGGCGUUAAGUUGCAGGGUAUAGACCCGAAACCCGGUGAUCUAGCCAUGGGCAGGUUGAAGGUUGGGUAACACUAACUGGAGGACCGAACCGACUAAUGUUGAAAAAUUAGCGGAUGACCUGUGGCUGGGGGUGAAAGGCCAAUCAAACCGGGAGAUAGCUGGUUCUCCCCGAAAGCUAUUUAGGUAGCGCCUCGUGAAUUCAUCUCCGGGGGUAGAGCACUGUUUCGGCUAGGGGGCCAUCCCGGCUUACCAACCCGAUGCAAACUGCGAAUACCGGAGAAUGUUAUCACGGGAGACACACGGCGGGUGCUAACGUCCGUCGUGAAGAGGGAAACAACCCAGACCGCCAGCUAAGGUCCCAAAGUCAUGGUUAAGUGGGAAACGAUGUGGGAAGGCCCAGACAGCCAGGAUGUUGGCUUAGAAGCAGCCAUCAUUUAAAGAAAGCGUAAUAGCUCACUGGUCGAGUCGGCCUGCGCGGAAGAUGUAACGGGGCUAAACCAUGCACCGAAGCUGCGGCAGCGANNNNNNNNNNNNNNNNNNNNUGCUGGAGGUAUCAGAAGUGCGAAUGCUGACAUAAGUAACGAUAAAGCGGGUGAAAAGCCCGCUCGCCGGAAGACCAAGGGUUCCUGUCCAACGUUAAUCGGGGCAGGGUGAGUCGACCCCUAAGGCGAGGCCGAAAGGCGUAGUCGAUGGGAAACGGGUUAAUAUUCCCGUACUUGGUGUUACUGCGAAGGGGGGACGGAGAAGGCUAUGUUGGCCGGGCGACGGUUGUCCCGGUUUAAGCGUGUAGGUGUGUGUUCCAGGUAAAUCCGGUUCACUUUAACACUGAGGCGUGACGACGAGGCACUACGGUGCUGAAGCAACAAAUGCCCUGCUUCCAGGAAAAGCCUCUAAGCAUCAGGUAACAUCAAAUCGUACCCCAAACCGACACAGGUGGUCAGGUAGAGAAUACCAAGGCGCUUGAGAGAACUCGGGUGAAGGAACUAGGCAAAAUGGUGCCGUAACUUCGGGAGAAGGCACGCUGACACGUAGGUGAAGUGAUUUACUCAUGGAGCUGAAGUCAGUCGAAGAUACCAGCUGGCUGCAACUGUUUAUUAAAAACACAGCACUGUGCAAACACGAAAGUGGACGUAUACGGUGUGACGCCUGCCCGGUGCCGGAAGGUUAAUUGAUGGGGUCAGCGCAAGCGAAGCUCCUGAUCGAAGCCCCGGUAAACGGCGGCCGUAACUAUAACGGUCCUAAGGUAGCGAAAUUCCUUGUCGGGUAAGUUCCGACCUGCACGAAUGGCGUAAUGAUGGCCAGGCUGUCUCCACCCGAGACUCAGUGAAAUUGAACUCGCUGUGAAGAUGCAGUGUACCCGCGGCAAGACGGAAAGACCCCGUGAACCUUUACUAUAGCUUGACACUGAACAUUGAGCCUUGAUGUGUAGGAUAGGUGGGAGGCUUUGAAGUGUGGACGCCAGUCUGCAUGGAGCCGACCUUGAAAUACCACCCUUUAAUGUUUGAUGUUCUAACGUGGACCCGUUACCCGGGUUGCGGACAGUGUCUGGUGGGUAGUUUGACUGGGGCGGUCUCCUCCUAAAGAGUAACGGAGGAGCACGAAGGUUGGCUAAUCCUGGUCGGACAUCAGGAGGUUAGUGCAAUGGCAUAAGCCAGCUUGACUGCGAGCGUGACGGCGCGAGCAGGUGCGAAAGCAGGUCAUAGUGAUCCGGUGGUUCUGAAUGGAAGGGCCAUCGCUCAACGGAUAAAAGGUACUCCGGGGAUAACAGGCUGAUACCGCCCAAGAGUUCAUAUCGACGGCGGUGUUUGGCACCUCGAUGUCGGCUCAUCACAUCCUGGGGCUGAAGUAGGUCCCAAGGGUAUGGCUGUUCGCCAUUUAAAGUGGUACGCGAGCUGGGUUUAGAACGUCGUGAGACAGUUCGGUCCCUAUCUGCCGUGGGCGCUGGAGAACUGAGGGGGGCUGCUCCUAGUACGAGAGGACCGGAGUGGACGCAUCACUGGUGUUCGGGUUGUCAUGCCAAUGGCACUGCCCGGUAGCUAAAUGCGGAAGAGAUAAGUGCUGAAAGCAUCUAAGCACGAAACUUGCCCCGAGAUGAGUUCUCCCUGAGACUUAGAGUCUCCUGAAGGAACGUUGAAGACGACGACGUUGAUAGGCCGGGUGUGUAAGCGCAGCGAUGCGUUGAGCUAACCGGUACUAAUGAACCGUGAGGCUUAACCUUACAACGCCGAAG